rnacentral:rRNA from 1 species
GACCUGCCCAAUGAGUAUUUAAAUGGCCGCGGUAUUCUGACCGUGCAAAGGUAGCAUAAUAAUUAGUUUUUUAAUUGAAAGCUUGUAUGAAAGGUUGGAUGAGAAAAUAACUGUCUCUAUUUAAAUUUUUUAGAAUUUUAUUUUUAAGUAAAAAAGCUUAAAUUGGAAUAGAAGACGAGAAGACCCUAUAGAGUUUUAAUUUGGUUGGGGUGAUCGAAAAAUUUAAUAAACUUUUUUUUUAUUCGAACAUUGAUUUAUGAAUUUUUGAUCCUUUUUUAAAGAUUAUAAGAUUAAAUUACCUUAGGGAUAACAGCGUAAUUUUUCUAGAGAGUUCAAAUCGAAAGAAAAGAUUGCGACCUCGAUGUUGGAUUAAAAUAAAAUUUUGGUGUAGAAGCUAA